rnacentral:rRNA from 1 species
UACGGGAGGCAGCAGUGGGGAAUAUUGCACAAUGGGCGAAAGCCUGAUGCAGCUAUGCCGCGUGUAUGAAGAAGGCCUUAGGGUUGUAAAGUACUUUCAUCGGGGAGGAAAAACAAAACUAAUAAUUUUAUUUCUUGACGUUACCCGAAAAAGAAGCACCGGCUAACUCCGUGCCAGCAGCCGCGGUAAUACGGAGGGUGCUAGCGUUAAUCAGAAUUACUGGGCGUAAAGAGCACGUAGGUGGUUUUUUUAAGUCAGAUGUGAAAUCCCUGGGCUUAACCUAGGAACUGCAUUUUGAAACUGAAAUACUAGAGUAUCGUAGAGGGAGGUAGAAUUCUAGGUGUAGCGGUGAAAUGCGUAGAUAUCUGGAGGAAUACCUGUGGCGAAAGCGACCUCCUAAACGAAUACUGACACUGAGGUGCGAAAGCGUGGGGAGCAAACAGGGAUUAGAUACC